rnacentral:lncRNA from 1 species
CGCAGGCUUUCUCCCUCGUUUUGCUGGACAUCAAAGAGGGAGUCGGAGACCAGUCGCCGCCGGCUACUGACGGCGAAAUGAGUGAUGAAGAGGCGAGUGAACUGGUCGAAGGACCGGAUUGAGUCAGCCUCCAGCCCGGCGAACCAUGCCCUCGCCGGGCCACGGAGGGUUGCCGGGAAAGCCUUGCAGAGAAGGGGAUCUGAUGCUCCGUGGAGGAGCAUAAGGGUCCUGAAA